UGCCUAAUACAUGCAAGUCGAACGAGAGCGACCGGUGCUUGCACUGGUCAAUCUAGUGGCGAACGGGUGAGUAACACGUGGGUAACCUGCCCAUCAGAGGGGGAUAACAUUCGGAAACGGAUGCUAAAACCGCAUAGGUCUUCGAACCGCAUGGUUUGAAGAGGAAAAGAGGCGCAAGCUUCUGCUGAUGGAUGGACCCGCGGUGCAUUAGCUAGUUGGUGAGGUAACGGCUCACCAAGGCCGUGAUGCAUAGCCGACCUGAGAGGGUGAUCGGCCACAUUGGGACUGAGACACGGCCCAAACUCCUACGGGAGGCAGCAGUAGGGAAUCUUCCGCAAUGGACGCAAGUCUGACGGAGCAACGCCGCGUGAGUGAAGAAGGUUUUCGGAUCGUAAAACUCUGUUGUUAGAGAAGAACAAGUGCUAGAGUAACUGUUAGCGCCUUGACGGUAUCUAACCAGAAAGCCACGGCUAACUACGUGCCAGCAGCCGCGGUAAUACGUAGGUGGCAAGCGUUGUCCGGAUUUAUUGGGCGUAAAGCGAGCGCAGGCGGUUCCUUAAGUCUGAUGUGAAAGCCCCCGGCUCAACCGGGGAGGGUCAUUGGAAACUGGGGAACUUGAGUGCAGAAGAGGAGAGUGGAAUUCCAUGUGUAGCGGUGAAAUGCGUAGAUAUAUGGAGGAACACCAGUGGCGAAGGCGACUCUCUGGUCUGUAACUGACGCUGAGGCUCGAAAGCGUGGGUAGCAAACAGGAUUAGAUACCCUGGUAGUCCACGCCGUAAACGAUGAGUGCUAAGUGUUGGAGGGUUUCCGCCCUUCAGUGCUGCAGUUAACGCAUUAA
rnacentral:rRNA from 1 species